rnacentral:rRNA from 1 species
UGGGGAAUCUUGGACAAUGGGCGCAAGCCUGAUCCAGCUAUGCCGCGUGAGUGAAGAAGGCCUUAGGGUUGUAAAACUCUUUCGCCGGAGAAGAUAAUGACGGUAUCCGGAGAAGAAGCCCCGGCUAACUUCGUGCCAGCAGCCGCGGUAAUACGAAGGGGGCUAGCGUUGUUCGGAAUUACUGGGCGUAAAGCGCACGUAGGCGGGUCUGUAAGUAGAGGGUGAAAUCCCAGGGCUCAACCCUGGAACUGCCUUCUAGACUGCAGGCCUGGAGGUCAGGAGAGGCGAGCGGAAUUCCGAGUGUAGAGGUGAAAUUCGUAGAUAUUCGGAGGAACACCAGUGGCGAAGGCGGCUCGCUGGACUGAUACUGACGCUGAGGUGCGAAAGCGUGGGGAGCAAACAGGAUUAGAUACCCCAGUAGUCCCUGAGCGGGCUGGCAAGGCG